UACGGGGGGAGCAAGCGUUGUUCGGAUUUACUGGGCGUAAAGGGCGCGUAGGCGGUCAGCACAAGUCAGUUGUGAAAUCUCCGGGCUUAACUCGGAAAGGUCAACUGAUACUGUGCGACUAGAGUGCAGAAGGGGCAACUGGAAUUCUCGGUGUAGCGGUGAAAUGCGUAGAGAUCGGGAGGAACACCGGUGGCGAAGGCGGCCUUCUGGACGGUGACUGACGCUGAGGCGCGAAAGCGUGGGGAGCAAACGGG
rnacentral:rRNA from 1 species